rnacentral:rRNA from 1 species
ACUCCUACGGGAGGUAGCAGUGGGGAAUAUUGCACAAUGGGCGCAAGCCUGAUGCAGCCAUGCCGCGUGUAUGAAGAAGGCCUUCGGGUUGUAAAGUACUUUCAGCAGUGAGGAAGGCGAGGUACGUUAAUAGCGUGCUUGUUUGUACGUUAGCUGCAGAAGAAGCACCGGCUAACUCCGUGCCAGCAGCCGCGGUAAGUACGGAGGGUGCGAGCGUUAAUCGGAAUUACGUGGGCGUAAAGCGCAUGCAGGUUGGUUUGUUAAGUCAGAUGUGAAAGCCCGGGGCUCAACCUCGGAAUUGCAUUUGAAACUGGCAGACUAGAGUACUGUAGAGGGGGUAGGAAUUUCAGGUGUAGCGGUGAAAUGCGUAGAGAUCUGAAGGUAAUACCGGUGGCGAAGGCGGCCCCCGUGGACAGAUACUGACACUCAGAUGCGAAAGCGUGGGAGCAAACAGGAUUAGAUACCCCGUGGUAGCGACUGA